CGGGUGAGUAACGCGUGGGUAACCUACCCUGUACACACAGAUAACAUACCGAAAGGUAUGCUAAUACGGGAUAAUAUAUUUGAGAGGCAUCUCUUGAAUAUCAAAGGUGAGCCAGUACAGGAUGGACCCGCGUCUGAUUAGCUAGUUGGUAAGGUAACGGCUUACCAAGGCGACGAUCAGUAGCCGACCUGAGAGGGUGAUCGGCCACAUUGGAACUGAGACACGGUCCAA
rnacentral:rRNA from 1 species